rnacentral:rRNA from 1 species
CCCUUAGAUGUUCAGGGCUGCACACGUGCUACACUGGCAGGUUCAGCGAGCUUCAUGCCCUGAUCUGAAAGGAAUGGGAAAUCUUUUCAAAACCUGCCGUGCUUGGGAUAGAUGUUUGCAAUUAUUCAUCUUCAACGAGGAUUGCCUUGUAAGCGCACGUCAUCAGCGUGCAUUGAAUACGACCCUGUAUUCUGUACACACCGCCCGUCGCUCCUACCGAUUGAAGUUUUCGGUGAGUUGACAGGAGGAUUUUUUUGAAACUGGUUCGCCAGUGGAUUUUAGAUCCAAAUGCCAACGAAUCGAUGGCUUUAGAGGAAGGAGAAGUCGUAACA